rnacentral:rRNA from 1 species
ACGGCGAGUGAACCGGGAAAAGCUCAAAUUUGAAAUCUGCCAACAGGCCGAGUUGUAAUUUGUAGAUGGCUACACUGCAUAAUAGUAGAUGCUCAAGUUCUUUGGAAAAAGACAUCAUGGAGGGUGACAAUCCCGUGAGGCAUGUUACUAGGAGCAUAUAGUGGGCUUUCUAAGAGUCGAGUUGUUUGGGAAUGCAGCUCAAAGUGCGUGGUGAAUACCAUGUAAAGCUAAAUAUGGACGAGAGACCGAUAGCGAACAAGUACUGUGAAGGAAAGAUGAAAAGCACUCCGAAAGGAGAGUGAAAUAGUACGUGAAAUUGUUAAAGUGGAAGGGCUUGAGAUCAGAAUUGGUAGUUUGGGUUCCACGUCCUCUUGGGGGCGUGUACUCCCUUUCCACCGGGCCAGCGGGAGUUUCGUCUCUUGGGUAAAAGCAGUGGAAUGUAGCAGCUUGUCUGUAUUAUAGCCUCUGUUCAUACAAGACGUCGAGACU